GAUGAACGCUGGCGGCGUGCCUAAUACAUGCAAGUCGAACGCUGAAGGAGGAGCUUGCUCUUCUGGAUGAGUUGCGAACGGGUGAGUAACGCGUAGGUAACCUGCCUGGUAGCGGGGGAUAACUAUUGGAAACGAUAGCUAAUACCGCAUGACAACAGUUAUUGCAUGAUAACUGUUGAAAAGGGGCAACUGCUCCACUACCAGAUGGACCUGCGUUGUAUUAGCUAGUUGGUGGGGUAACGGCACACCCAGGAGACGGUACAUAGCCGACCUGAGAGGGGGGUCGGCCACACUGGGACUUGGACCACGCCCAGACUCCUUCGGGGGGCCGCCGUUGGGGAUCUUCGGACAAUGACGGAAGUCUGACCGAACAACGCCGCGUUAGUGAAGAAGGGUCUCGGGUCGUAAAGCUCUGUUUUUAGAGAAGAACGAGUGUGAGAGUGGAAACUUCACACUGUGACGGUAUCUUACCAGAAAGGGACGGCUAACUACGUG
rnacentral:rRNA from 1 species